rnacentral:rRNA from 1 species
UACGGAGGGUGCAAACGUUGCUCGGAAUCACUGGGCGUAAAGCGCACGUAGGCGGCCGUGUAAGUUGGGUGUGAAAGCCCUGGGCUCAACCCAGGAAGUGCAUCCAAAACUGCAUGGCUUGAGUACCGGAGGGGCUCAGAGAAUUCCCGGUGUAGAGGUGAAAUUCGUAGAUAUCGGGAGGAAUACCAGUGGCGAAGGCGCUGGGCUGGACGGUUACUGACGCUGAGGUGCGAAAGCGUGGGGAGCAAACAGG